CUGCUCACAACGUUCUUGUGUCAUUGUUAAACAAAUUAAGCCGCGGCCAUGAGUGGCCAUAAAAUUAAUCGCUUCAGCACUUAUAUGUUCGGCUGCGAUAAUUA
rnacentral:antisense_RNA from 1 species